rnacentral:rRNA from 1 species
UACGUAGGGGGCGAGCGUUGUCCGGAAUCAUUGGGCGUAAAGCGCGUGUAGGCGGCUCGAUAAGUCCGGUGUGAAACCUUGGGGCUCAACCCCAAGCCUGCACUGGAUACUGCCGAGCUAGAGUCCGGGAGGGGAGAGCGGAAUUCCUAGUGUAGCGGUGAAAUGCGCAGAUAUUAGGAAGAACACCGGUGGCGAAAGCGCUCUGCUGGACCUUAACUGACACUGAGGGACGAAAGCUAGGGGAGCGAAUGGG